rnacentral:lncRNA from 1 species
CUGCUUCCUGCAGGAUUCCAACCCACAGAGAGAGGGUCUCGGAGUGGCCAUCAGGCCACCCCUUCUUGCUGCUUCUGCCUGGGUCUUAAUAUGACUGUAGAUGGAAGGCUCCAAGUCAUCACUGCUGCCACUCUACACUGGGCAGAGUUAGACUCAAGCACUACAAGGAGAAAGAAGACUCUUCUGACAUUUCACAUAAACAUCCAGCUGAGCCAUUGUGUGAAUCCAAGUGCUGAAUCUAGCCUGGAGUAGAUGAGGAGAACCAAGAUGUCACCAUGGCCCCUCAGGGGAUGGAAGCUGCCUGUGGGGGCUGGGUGGGAGGAGAAUCUCCUCACAGUUUUUGCACAGGUGAAAUGUGACAUUUAAGAAAGCCAUUUGAAGCCUUAUUAGAGGACAAAGAAGGAAGCGUUCCUAAGGUGUUUGCAGCUCAAGGAGAGAAGGAGUAUAUGGUGGGGCAUUGAGGACCCACCGGGACACUGACAAGAUGGCUUCCUGCCCCAGUUUCCACCUGCUAUUGUUUAUAUAUCCAGCAUCCCCCAAAGACUCACGUAGGAGGGCUUGAUUCUCAAUGCAGCAAUAUCCAGCAAUGUCAUGAGGGUGUUAACCUCACCAAUGGGUUAGUCCAUUGGUAGUUCAGAGACGAAUGGGCUGUUAGGAGGAAGACGACCUAGGUGAAAGAAGUGGGUCACUGGGGACAUGCCUUUGGGGUACAUCUGGUCUCCUUCCCAUUCCUAUCUGGCUCUUUCCCUCUCACUCUGCUUCCGGGCUUCCAUGAGGUGAGCAGUUGUCUUCUACCACGCCCUUCCACCAUGGCAGCUUUGCCUUGGAGCCAGCAGACCAUGGGCUGAAAUCUCUGAAACCAUGGGUCACAAUAAACCUUCCCUCCUUUAACCUGAGAUCUCAGGCAUUUUGUCCAGCAGUGAGAGCUGACCAGUACACCACCCCG